CAAUAGCGUAUAUUAAAGUUGUUGCAGUUAAAAAGCUCGUAGUUGGAUUUCUGGCAGGAGCGACCGGUCACACACUCUGUGUGUGAACUUGCGUUGUCUCUGGCCAUCCUUGGGAAGAUCCUGUUUGGCAUUAAGUUGUCGGGCAGGGGAUACCCAUCGUUUACUGUGAAAAAAUUAGAGUGUUUAAAGCAGGCUUAUGCCGUUGAAUAUAUUAGCAUGGAAUAAUAAGAUAGGACUUCGGAACUAUUUUGUUGGUUUGCGUUACGAAGUAAUGAUUAAUAGGGACAGUUGGGGGUAUUCGUAUUUCGUUGUCAGAGGUGAAAUUCUUGGAUUUCCGAAAGACGAACUACUGCGAAAGCAUUUACUAAGGAUGUUUUCAUUAA
rnacentral:rRNA from 1 species